ACUCAAAGGAAUAGACGGGGGCCCGCACAAGCAGCGGAGCGUGUGGUUUAAUUCGAUGCAACGCGAAGAACCUUACCCGGGCUUGACGUGGAGGUGGUACCGACCUGAAAGGGAAGGGACCCGCGAGGGAGCCUCUGCAGGUGCUGCACGGCUGUCGUCAGCUCGUGCCGUGAGGUGUUGGGUUAAGUCCCGCAACGAGCGCAACCCCCGCCGCUAGUUACUGUGUCUAGCGGGACCGCCGGGACCAACCCGGAGGAAGGUGGGGACGACGUCAAGUCAGCAUGGCCCUGACGCCCGGGGCCACACACACGCUACAAUGGCCGGGACAACGGGCAGCGAGGGGGCGACCCGGAGCUAAUCCCAACAAACCCGGUCUCAGUUCGGAUUGCAGGCUGCAACCCGCCUGCAUGAAGUCGGAGUUGCUAGUAACCGCCGGUCAGCACACGGCGGUGAAUACGUUCCCGGGCCUUGCACACACCGCCCGU
rnacentral:rRNA from 1 species